UACAGAGGUGGCAAGCGUUGUUCGGAAUUACUGGGCGUAAAGAGCGCGCAGGCGGCUGGUCAAGUCCGAUGUGAAAUCUCCCGGCUUAACUGGGAAACUGCAUCGGAAACUGAUCGGCUUGAAGGUGGGAGAGGGUAGUGGAAUUCCCGGUGUAGUGGUGAAAUGCGUAGAUAUCGGGAGGAACACCAGUGGCGAAGGCGACUACCUGGCCCAUUCUUGACGCUGAGGCGCGAAAGCUAGGGGAGCGAACGGG
rnacentral:rRNA from 1 species